UGAGCUAAGUACUUCAGAACCUUGAGUACAAAAGUACUAAUGACCAGAACUGCUAAUUAGAGAGCAGCGAGGAAGUUUGAAAAUGAUGUGGAUGUUCAUCAUUUUAUUACUCUACGAAUUGACAGCAUUUGAGUGUUCUUCUCCUUUUGUAUAUCUAGAUUGACAUUAAAUUUUGGAGCUUUUCUAAGGGCAGCUCAGUGUAUGGAAGCGAGUAGAUAAGAACAUCAUUUUUAAAUUUCUAGAAGGUGACAUGGAUUCAGCUGGGAUUUAUAAGUGUUGAUGUAAGUAUUGUAUAAAAGUGAAGUUGUAUGCACCAAAUUUAUUGAAUGCGGCAGAGAAUUAAUUUGCAAGGUUUUGCUUCAUCAGAUUUCUCUUCUUUGCAAGUACUUGGGAUAUGUACAUAGUACUUGAUGAAGAAUACAUGUUGGUAGUCGUUGGUUAACUCCUGCUUUUCAUUUUGUGCAGUGAGGUUGUUAUGGUAUAAUGUUCACCUAUUCUCUAAUGGAUUCAAGAGUACAAGAAGCAUUAACGCAUGGGCAAAAUCCAUAAUUCUACUGCAGCACCUUUAUUCACUAGCCAUUUUUUGCAAACAAUUAAAUUUAUUACAGCUUCCAAAUACUUCCUGCAGAUCAUGGUAAUUUUAUAAACAUCUAGAUUCCGUUUCUGCAUCUAUUGUAGUUUCGUUUCAGAUGCAACCUUCAAUCAACUAUAAAUAUUUUAGUUUCUCAUGGCCGGUUUCUUCUUUGCCAGUCUUUCUCUUGUGUUUGUUCAAAAUAAGGUGUACAUUGCCUAUUGUCUAUUGUAUCAAUGUAGUAUCCACCGUGUUCAAUAAAUGUUCCUGAAUGAGAGAACACCUUUGCAUGGCAGGAAACAGAAACUGUGGAACAGUAUGAACUGGCCGCCAUGUGUGAUAUGCAAUCUUCCAGCAAUUCCGGGGCUGUCGCAGUCAACGCUCUGCUCUCAACUGCCCAUCUACCGGCCCACGAUUCACUAUGCCAGAUGAGAAACACUCCGAUUAGUACUGUUGUUGCUUAUGUUCGAAGAUAUUGUGUCACGCUAUGUCUAAUUUGCAUACUAUUCAGAAAAGGGUAGAAUUUGUCGUGUGCAGGGGCUCAGACUUCUCCAAGGACUACGAAGGGGCCUCCCUGUAAAUGUUGAUGUCCUACAACCCUGCCGUGCACUUUUUCCUCUUCCUCAAGCAGUGGACCGAUAGCAUCCUCGCCGGCGCUCUCAGCCUCCUUAGGCUCCUCAUCUUCAAGUUUCUGUCUUGGUUUCGUUUCAACAUGAUGUCCUUUGGUGAUUUUGCCUGGAUUCUCAACUAAUCCAACAUGAACCUAUGCUUUGGUUAGUUCUGUGUGCAGGUUUAUGCGGAUGGAACUGACAUCAUGUACACUCACAAAUGGUGAAGCUGGCAUUAGGGAAUUAUACGGUAAAAAUCAAUACCAUUUGUACAUAGCUGAACUGAAAGAUGGAUUAUUUCGCUUAGGAUUGUCUGGUGUUUGGACUUGUGAUAAUGAUACACAUUGUUUGCAUCUGUGGUAUUUCGUUGGAGCAGUUGUAGGAUGUAAUCAGCGAUGCUGAUGACAAGGCAGAAGGCAGUCUGCUCAGAGGGGUAAAGGUGGAGACACGAAGCAGAGAAUAGCAAGAUGCUGAUUGAUACAAAGCAGAGGAGAGCAAGAUGCUCAGAGGGGUAAAGGAGGAGACGGGAAGCAUAGGAGAGCAAGAUGUUGAUAGAUGAGGAGUGCGGGAUCUGCAUGGAACUGAACAACAAUGUGGUAUUGCCCAACUGCAGUCAUGCCAUGUGCUAAUGCUUGCUGCAAGUUAGUAGUAACUGUUCAGAUCUCUUGUCCCAAAGGAUGGUGCUAAUACUUGUACAAGUUCGGUUCAGUUUAGUUAUAGCUUGUAAGAUUUUUUUAUCCUAAUGUCUUUUGCACAAACAAUAUUUCUUUUACUGAGCUUAGUCUUAGUGCAUUUUACUACAAUAUAAAUAUCAGAUUGGUCCAACUCAUAUAUUUCUUAUUUCUGUAGUGUGACGCCUUAAGAUUUAGAAGACAACUUUGUCUAGAAAAACUCACUUUUGCUAUUGCAUCUAAAUGGUGUCAAUGUAUGUCGAACUGUAACCAUGGAAAUCUAAUGUUUAGGUCACAAUUGUCGGGCUAGGCAUGUUGCCGUG